rnacentral:tRNA from 1 species
GCUGAUAAGCGGGUUCUCCAACCUUGCCAAGGUUGGGGUCGAGGGUUCGAAUCCCUUCGCCCGCUCCA